rnacentral:rRNA from 1 species
AGAGUUUGAUCAUGGCUCAGGAUGAACGCUAGUGAUAGGCUUAACACAUGCAAGUCGAGGGGCAGCAUGAUCUUAGCUUGCUAAGGUUGAUGGCGACCGGCGCACGGGUGCGUAACGCGUAUGCAACUUGCCUUACAGAGGGGGAUAACCCGUUGAAACCGCAUACACUUGUAUUAUUGCAUGAUAUUACAAGGAAAUAUUUAUAGCUGUAAGAUAGGCAUGCGUCCCAUUAGCUAGUUGGUGAGGUAACGGCUCACCAAGGCGACGAUGGGUAGGGGAACUGAGAGGUUUAUCCCCCACACUGGUACUGAGACACGGACCAGACUCUACGGGAGGCAGCAGUGAGGAAUAUUGGUCAAUGGGCGAGAGCCUGAACCAGCCAAGUCGCGUGAAGGAAGACAGUCCUAAGGAUUGUAAACUUCUUUUAUACGGGAAUAACGGGCGAUACGAGUAUUGCAUUGAAUGUACCGUAAGAAUAAGCAUCGGCUAACUCCGUGCCAGCAGCCGCGGUAAUACGGAGGAUGCGAGCGUUAUCCGGAUUUAUUGGGUUUAAAGGGUGCGUAGGUUGUUCGGUAAGUCAGCGGUGAAACCUGAGCGCUCAACGUUCAGCCUGCCGUUGAAACUGCCGGGCUUGAGUUCAGUGGCGGCAGGCGGAAUUCGUGGUGUAGCGGUGAAAUGCAUAGAUAUCACGAGGAACUCCGAUUGCGAAGGCAGCUUGCCAUACUGCGACUGACACUGAAGCACGAAGGCGUGGGUAUCAAACAGGAUUAGAUACCCUGGUAGUCCACGCAGUAAACGAUGAUUACUAGGAGUUUGCGAUAUACCGUCAAGCUUCCACAGCGAAAGCGUUAAGUAAUCCACCUGGGGAGUACGCCGGCAACGGUGAAACUCAAAGGAAUUGACGGGGGCCCGCACAAGCGGAGGAACAUGUGGUUUAAUUCGAUGAUACGCGAGGAACCUUACCCGGGAUUGAAAUGUAGAUGACGGAUGGUGAAAACCGUCUUCCCUUCGGGGCGUCUAUGUAGGUGCUGCAUGGUUGUCGUCAGCUCGUGCCGUGAGGUGUCGGCUUAAGUGCCAUAACGAGCGCAACCCACAUCGGUAGUUGCUAACAGU